rnacentral:rRNA from 1 species
CCUACGGGUGGCAGCAGUGGGGAAUAUUGCACAAUGGGGGAAACCCUGAUGCAGCGACGCCGCGUGAGUGAAGAAGUAAUUCGUUAUGUAAAGCUCUAUCAGCAGGGAAGAAAAUGACGGUACCUGAGUAAGAAGCCCCGGCUAACUACGUGCCAGCAGCCGCGGUAAUACGUAGGGGGCAAGCGUUAUCCGGAUUUACUGGGUGUAAAGGGAGCGUAGACGGCAUUGCAAGUCUGGAGGGAAAGGCUGGGGCUCAACCCCCGGACUGCUCUGGAAACUGUAAGUCUGGAGUGGAGGAGAGGUAAGUGGAAUUCGCAGUGUAGCGGUGAAAUGCGUAGAUAUUAGGAAGAACCCCAGUGGCGAAGGCGGCAUACUGGACCGUCACUGACGUUGAGGCUCGAAAGCGUGGGGAGCAAACAGGAUUAGAUACCCGUGUAGUC